UAUGUGGUAGGACUUAAUCAUCGGGUA
rnacentral:sRNA from 1 species